UACGAAGGGGGCUAGCGUUGUUCGGAAUUACUGGGCGUAAAGCGCGCGCAGGCGGUCUUCCAAGUCAGUGGUGAAAGCCCGGAGCUCAACUCCGGAACUGCCAUUGAAACUGUAAGACUUGAGGAUGAGAGAGGUGAGUGGAACUGCGAGUGUAGAGGUGAAAUUCGUAGAUAUUCGCAAGAACACCAGUGGCGGAAGGCGGCUCACUGGCUCGGUACUGACGCUGAGGUGGCGAAAAGCG
rnacentral:rRNA from 1 species